rnacentral:tRNA from 1 species
AGUUGUGUAGUGUAGUGGUUUGAGUGUUGGACUAUGAUUCUGGAGAACAGGGUUCAAUUCCCAGCUCAGCGG